UGCAGCACCUCCCAGGAAAUUCCCUCAGAAU
rnacentral:piRNA from 1 species